UAGGAAAGAGGUCUUUGGUGAUUGUGCUCUAGUCUUUUAUGUUGUCAGAUUGAGGUUAAUACCCUCUCAUUCGUGUUGCCUUCUCUAUGUUCAAUACACUUAUCAAGACAUUAAUUAAGAUCUGUUAAUGUAUCUGGCUUGCAUACAGUCAUCAUCGGCUGGUCCUAGUUGCUAUGUUAUAAUCAUUUAAGUUAGUACAUUGAUAUCAAUGCCCUCUCAUUCGUGUUACCUUAUCUGAGUUCAAUACACUUAUCAAGACAUUGGCUAGAUUUGUUAGCUUAUCUAAUAAGCAAGUGGUUAAUGAGGGAUCCCUUUAUGGAUGUGGUGUU
rnacentral:lncRNA from 1 species